AGCGUAGGCGGUUAGAUAAGUCUUAUGUGAAAUCCCCGGGCUUAACUUGGGGGUUGCAUGGGAAACUAUAUAACUUGAGUACAGGAGAGGUAAGCGGAAUUCCUAGUGUAGCGGUGAAAUGCGUAGAUAUUAGGAGGAACACCAGUGGCGAAGGCGGCUUACUGGACUGAAACUGACGCUGAGGCUCGAAAGCGUGGGGAGCAAACAGGAUUAGAUACCCUGGUAGUCCACGCUGUAAACGAUGGAUACUAGGUGUAGGGGGGGUCAAACCCUCUGUGCCGGAGUUAACACAAUAAGUAUCCCGCCUGGGGAGUACGGCCGCAAGGCUGAA
rnacentral:rRNA from 1 species